CACCCGAUAGCACAUGGCGCGCGCCUGCUCAAAUUUGAUGAAUUGGACAUAAAACCACGAGUCCCCCGUUCGACUCGGGGUCGGGUCA